rnacentral:rRNA from 1 species
AAUCAACGCUGGCGGCGUGCCUAACACAUGCAAGUCGAACGAGAUAGUGACUUCGGUCACUGGAAAGUGGCGUCCGGGUGAGUAACACGUGGGUAAUCUACCCUCGGGUGGGGAAUAACGGAUCGAAAGAUUCGCUAAUACCGCAUAAUGCAGCGGCACCUAAUGGUGAAUAGUUGUUAAAGCGGGGGAUCGCAAGACCUCGCGCCUGAGAGGAGCCUGCGGCAGAUAGCUAGUUGGCGAGGUAAUGGCUCACCAAGGCUGCGAUCUGUAGCUGGUCUGAGAGGAC